rnacentral:rRNA from 1 species
AUACAGAGGGUGCGAGCGUUAAUCGGAUUUACUGGGCGUAAAGCGUGCGUAGGCGGCUUUUUAAGCCGGAUGUGAAAUCCCUGAGCUUAACUUAGGAAUUGCAUUCGAUACUGGGAAGCUAGAGUAUGGGAGAGGAUGGUAGAAUUCCAGGUGUAGCGAUGAAAUGCGUAGAGAUCUGGAGGAAUACCGAUGGCGAAGGCAGCCAUCUGGCCUAAUACUGACGCUGAGGUACGAAAGCAGGGGGAGCAAACAGGAUUAGAAACCCCAGUAGUCC